UGGUUUAGCUCAGUUGGUAGAGCAGCUGAUUUGUAAUCAGCAGGUCGGAGGUUCGAGCCCCUCAACCA
rnacentral:tRNA from 1 species